GAUGAACGCUGGCGGCGUGCUUAACACAUGCAAGUCGAACGAGGAUUUAACGGAAUGCGAUUCGUCAAAUGAAAUUAAAUCCGAGUGGCGGACGGGUGAGUAACGCGUGGAUAACCUGCCUCACACAGGGGGACAACAGUUGGAAACGACUGCUAAUACCGCAUAAUACAAGUAAUUCGCAUGAAUAACUUGCCAAAGAUUAUAUCGGUGUGAGAUGGAUCCGCGUCUGAUUAGCCAGUUGCGGGUAACGGCCCACCAAAGCGACGAUCAGUAGCCGACCUGAGAGGGUNACCGGCACAUUGGGACUGAGACACGGUCCAAAUCCUACGGGAGCAGCAGUGAGGAAUAUU
rnacentral:rRNA from 1 species